rnacentral:rRNA from 1 species
GAUGAACGCUGGCGGCGUGCCUAAUACAUGCAAGUCGAGCGAACAGACGAGGAGCUUGCUCCUCUGACGUUAGCGGCGGACGGGUGAGUAACGCGUGGAUAACCUACCUAUAAGACUGGGAUAACUUCGGGAAACCGGAGCUAAUACCGGAUAAUAUAUUGAACCGCAUGGUUCAAUAGUGAAAGACGGUUUUGCUGUCACUUAUAGAUGGAUCCGCGCCGCAUUAGCUAGUUGGUAAGGUAACGGCUUACCAAGGCGACGAUGCGUAGCCGACCUGAGAGGGUGAUCGGCCACACUGGAACUGAGACACGGUCCAGACUCCUACGGGAGGCAGCAGUAGGGAAUCUUCCGCAAUGGGCGAAAGCCUGACGGAGCAACGCCGCGUGAGUGAUGAAGGUCUUCGGAUCGUAAAACUCUGUUAUUAGGGAAGAACAAAUGUGUAAGUAACUAUGCACGUCCUGACGGUACCUAAUCAGAAAGCCACGGCUAACUACGUG